rnacentral:rRNA from 1 species
GACGAACCGUGCGAACGUUGUUCGGAAUCACUGGGCUUAAAGGGCGCGUAGGCGGGCCAUCAAGUCCGGGGUGAAAGCCCCCAGCUUAACUGGGGAAGUGCCUUGGAAACUGGUGGUCUCGAGGGAGGUAGGGGUCUGUGGAACUUCGGGUGGAGCGGUGAAAUGCGUUGAUAUCCGAAGGAACGCCGGUGGCGAAAGCGACGGACUGGAUCUCUUCUGACGCUGAGGCGCGAAAGCCAGGGGAGCAAACGG